GAUGAACGCUGGCGGCGUGCCUAAUACAUGCAAGUCGAGCGAACAGACGAGGAGCUUGCUCCUCUGACGUUAGCGGCGGACGGGUGAGUAACACGUGGAUAACCUACCUAUAAGACUGGGAUAACUUCGGGAAACCGGAGCUAAUACCGGAUAAUAUAUUGAACCGCAUGGUUCAAUAGUGAAAGACGGUUUUGCUGCCACUUAUAGAUGGAUCCGCGCCGCAUUAGCUAGUUGGUAAGGUAACGGCUUACCAAGGCGACGAUGCGUAGCCGACCUGAGAGGGUGAUCGGCCACACUGGAACUGAGACACGGUCCAGACUCCUACGGGAGGCAGCAGUAGGGAAUCUUCCGCAAUGGGCGAAAGCUUGACGGAGCAACGCCGCGUGAGUGAUGAAGGUCUUCGGAUCGUAAAACUCUGUUAUUAGGGAAGAACAAAUGUGUAAGUAACUAUGCACGUCUUGACGGUACCUAAUCAGAAAGCCACGGCUAACUACGUG
rnacentral:rRNA from 1 species